rnacentral:rRNA from 1 species
GGGGGGGGGGGGGGGGGGGGGGGGCGCGGGCGGGGCGGGCGGGGCCUGCGGGUGUGGGGGCGCACGGGGGCGUAACGCGUGGGCGCCUGCCCUUAGGUUCGGAAUCACUCCCCGAAAGGGGUGCUAAUACCGGAUAAUGUCUUCGGACCAAAGAUUUCUCGCCUUUGGAUGGGCCCGCGUUGGAUUAGCUAGUUGGUAGGGUAAAAGCCUACCAAGGCGACGAUCCAUAGCUGGUCUGAGAGGAUGAUCAGCCACACUGGGACUGAGACACGGCCCAGACUCCUACGGGAGGCAGCAGUGGGGAAUAUUGGACAAUGGGCGAAAGCCUGAUCCAGCAAUGCCGCGUGAGUGAUGAAGGCCUUAGGGUUGUAAAGCUCUUUUACCCGGGAUGAUAAUGACAGUACCGGGAGAAUAAGCUCCGGCUAACUCCGUG